CCAAGAACUGCAAAUAAACACAUUACGCACAGAUCAUACGUAAAUUACGCACACAUUAUACACAUUAUAAACACAUUACGCACAGAUCAUACGUAAAUUACGCACACAUUAUACACAUUCUGAACACAUUACGCACAGAUCAUACGUAAAUUACGCACACACACAUUAUAAGCACAUCAUACAUGCAGCACGCCGGGGUCUGUGGGCGGAUUAUUUCAGUGUCUGGUGAACGGGACUAAUUUAGCAGACGCAUUGUUGGGUAGAAGUCAAGCUGCCAAAAAAAAUUACUUAAAGAUUCACGGAAGUUCACUUGGUUAUAGCAAUCGCAAGAAUAGCUUCAGAAUACAGUGUUAAGGUGCAGUGUUAAGGUGUGGUGUUAAGGUGUGGAUGAGUGUAUUGUUAAGGUGUGGGUGAGCGACGUGUUAGGGUGCAGUGUUAAGGCGUAGUGUUAAGGUGCGGGUGAGUGCAGUGUUUAGGGGCAGUGUUGAGGUGCGGUGUUAGGGUGUGGUGUUAAGGUGCAGUGUUAAGGCGCGGGUGAGUGCAGUGCUUAGGUGCAGUGUUAAGGUGCAGUGUUAAGGCACGGGUGAGUGCAGUGCUUAGGUGCAGUGUUAAGGCAUAGUGUUAAGGUGCGGGUGAAUGCAGAGUUAAGGCGCGGGUGAGUGCAGUGUUUAAGGGCAGUGUUAAGGUGCAGUGUUGAGGUGCAGUGUUAAGGCACGGGUGAGUGCAGUGCUUAGGUGCAGUGUUAAGGCAUGUGUGAGUGAAGUGCUUAGGUGCAGUGUUAAGGUGCAAUGUUGAGGUGCAGUGUUAAGGCACGGGUGAGUGCAGUGCUUAGGUGCAGUGUUAAGGCACGGGUGAGUGCAGUGCUUAGGUGCAGUGUUAAGGCAUAGUGUUAAGGUGCGGGUGAAUGCAGAGUUAAGGCGCGGGUGAGUGCAGUGUUUAAGGGCAGUGUUAAGGUGCAGUGUUGAGGUGCAGUGUUAAGGCACGGGUGAGUGCAGUGCUUAGGUGCAGUGUUAAGGCAUGUGUGAGUGAAGUGCUUAGGUGCAGUGUUAAGGUGCAAUGUUGAGGUGCAGUGUUAAGGCACGGGUGAGUGCAGUGCUUAGGUGCAGUGUUAAGGCACGGGUGAGUGCAGUGCUUAGGUGCAGUGUUAAGGCAUAGUGUUAAGGUGCGGGUGAAUGCAGAGUUAAGGCGCGGGUGAGUGCAGUGUUUAAGGGCAGUGUUAAGGUGCAGUGUUGAGGUGCAGUGUUAAGGCACGGGUGAGUGCAGUGCUUAGGUGCAGUGUUAAGGCAUGUGUGAGUGAAGUGCUUAGGUGCAGUGUUAAGGUGCGGUGUUAAGGUGUGUGUGACUCACGCAGGUGAAGAGCAGCGCUCCCAGGGACGCGUAGACGAUGUGCAGGAUCCGGUGGCGAAUGAAGAUGCAGAGGAAGGAGAAGAGCAGCAGCACGAUGAGGCAGACGAACAGGACCCCCCGACAGGAAGUGAAGUCGUAUUUGCUCUGUUUUAGGUCACAUGACAGGAACGGUUUCAUCAAAGUGAAAAAAGGAAAGGGUUUUUAUCAUAAUGCAGUUCUCACAUAAUGCUACUUGAGAACUACUGGAGAAGAUCUGGCUGCUAGUUCAGGUCUGAUCUGAACUAAAGAGUUCAGCCGUGUAGACAGCCUCAGGACAGAUUAGAGAGAGGAGUAACUCCACUCAUCACAGAGUGUAUGAGAGAGAGUGUGAGAGAGAGACUGAUCUGCAGAGAGAUGGGGAAGCGAGGGAGUGUGAGAGAGAGAGAGAGAGAGAGACUGACCUGCAGAGAGAAGAGGACCACAGUGAAGCACACUACAGCCGUGAUGCCCACAGCCAUGAUGACGGAGUCCGUGUCGUAGAAGCUGGCGAUCAUCCCCACCAUGUAGGACAGACUGAGCGUCAGGAUGGACUGCAGGACACACACAACAGCGUCUCAGUCAGCACCACAGAACAGCGUCUCAGUCAGCACCACAGAACAGCGUCUCCAAUCAGCACCACAGAACAGCGUCUCAGUCAGCACCACAGAGGGGGCCCGUGUCUGUGAUCCCGUCACUCUAGGGGCCCCGUGUCUGUAAUCACCCAAAGAGCCCCUUAUGUUUUAAUGUGCAAUAGUUCCUGUCAAAUAAACGAAUAAGUAAAAUUAAAUUAAA